rnacentral:rRNA from 1 species
AGUGAACGCUGGCGGUAGGCCUAACACAUGCAAGUCGAACGGCAGCACAGUAAGAGCUUGCUCUUACGGGUGGCGAGUGGCGGACGGGUGAGGAAUACAUCGGAAUCUACUUUUUCGUGGGGGAUAGCGUAGGGAAACUUACGCUAAUACCGCAUACGACCUUCGGGUGAAAGCAGGGGAUCUUCGGACCUUGCGCGAUUGAAUGAGCCGAUGUCGGAUUAGCUAGUUGGCGGGGUAAAGGCCCACCAAGGCGACGAUCCGUAGCUGGUCUGAGAGGAUGAUCAGCCACACUGGAACUGAGACACGGUCCAGACUCCUACGGGAGGCAGCAGUGGGGAAUAUUGGACAAUGGGCGCAAGCCUGAUCCAGCCAUACCGCGUGGGUGAAGAAGGCCUUCGGGUUGUAAAGCCCUUUUGUUGGGAAAGAAAAGCAGCAGGUUAAUACCCCGCUGUUCUGACGGUACCCAAAGAAUAAGCACCGGCUAACUUCGUG